UUUUCUUUUCUUUUUUUUUUUUUUUUUUUUAAGAAAGAGAGAGAGUAUGCAACCAGAUAGAAGCAAAGGGGGAGGAAGAAAGAGAAUCCUAAGCAGGCUCCACGCUCAGUGUGAUGCCUGAUGUGGGGCUCGAUCUCACAAUUCUGAGAUUGUGACCUGAGCCAAAAUAAAGAGUCAGACACUCAACUGACUGAGCCACCCAGAAGGCCGCACUUAUCACGCAUCAUUUCUUGUCCAAUAUGGACAAGAACCCAGAGCACAUCUCUUAUUUUGUGAAUAUGAAACUUACCAAAACUAGUAGCUAAAGAGUUGUGAAAUCAUUUAUACUAAUUGGUGCAAGGCAAAACCAAAAUAUAAAAGAACAUCAAUGCUCCCCAAAAUGCAUAAUGUGCAAGUGCUGAAGUCUAUAAAGGGAAGUCCAUUGGCUGAGGGGGUUAGUAGAUGUGACAUUCCUUAACAUCAAUUUCCUCAAGUGGAAACUUGAGAAAUGUUCUGUUUCACUGAGGCUCAGUCUCCUCAUCUGUACACUGAGGACAAUCUCUGGCCUACCAACCAGAAAUAUUCAUAAAGAGCUUAAAAUAAAAUAAUAGAUGAGUAAACACUAUAGAGGCCUAAAAGUGUGGUAGGGGGGCACCGGGGUGGCUCAGCGGUUGCACAUCUGCCUUUGGUUCAGAGCAUCAUCCUGGAGUCCUGGGAUCGAGUCCUACGUCAGGCUCCCUGUGGGGAACCUACUUCUCCCUCUACCUGUGUCUCUGCCUUUCUCUGUGUCUCUCAUGAAUAAAUGAAUAAAAUCUUGUUUUAAAAAAAGUGUGGAAAGAUUGUGAGCGAAUUGGCAUUUUCUACCUUUCCAUCUUUCUUUCAUUUCAAAGACUUAAAAUACAUUUGAAAUGUUAAAAAUCAAUUAAAUAUAUUUUUUGCGAUCUCUAAGUUUUGUGAUGCAUCCACAAAUGACUGACAUGUUUGUUCCAAUGUUCCAUCUGCAAUAUUGAUCUUUUACCAUGUUAUAGUUCUUCACCAAUAUUUUUAUUCUGUUCUCCCCAUUUUUAAGCAAAGGAUCUCAUGCUGUGGAGAGCUUCUCAAUCUUACCAGAGGCAGAGGAUGAGUUAGAAUAGCCAAACAAGAAUCAAAACUCUUGAGCAUCUAAUCUAUGAAUCAUAUUGUAGAGCCAUGGGGCCUACAAAAAAUAGUCACCAGGAGAGAAGUCAGUACAAAAGAAACUGGUCUGAUGGUGGUCAAAGGGGGGGGGGGGGGCGGCACGGACAGAGGCAUCAGAAUUACCUGGAGAGCUUGUCAAACCACAGAUUGUUGUACUUCACCCCCAGAGUUUCUGAUUCAGGAGAUCUGAGAUGGGGCCCAGGGUUCUGCAUUACUAACAAGUUCCCAGGUGAUGCUGAUGCCACUGAUCUAAGGACCACACUGUGAGCCAAGAGUUCCACCUUCUCAUAUGUCAGUUCUUUUGAUUCUCCCCUCACCCAAGAACUCUGUAAGGUAGGUAUUAUUAUACCCAUUUUAUAUAUUGGGAAACUGAGGCCCAAAGUAGAAGCUUGCUCUAAUUCCACCUUGCUGAUCAACCAAAUCAGAGUAGCCUCAGAAGGUCAAUUAACCCCUCUGUGGCCCCCCUUUUUUUUUCAAUUAGUGAAAAAAUAUUGUCAGAUUCUAAUGAGGAUUAAAAGGACACAACGUCUAAUAAGUGCUCGGCAACGUCCAAAGCAGCCCCUAAAAGCCCAUCUACAACAGGAUUCAACAUGCCAGAGAACUAAGGUUGAAUUCCAGGAAUCGCACUUAGCCCGCACUCGUACUUUUGUCAUUUUUCUAGUUGCGUGGAAAUUUCUAACCACCAUCCAAGCAUUACUAACCCCAACUUUUGUGAUUUUGCUUUGUUUUUGUUUUUGUUUUUUUAAUUACUGACUUUGUUUUUCCAAGAAAUUCUCUUCUGUGCUGCAGUGGUGUGGGGAGGGCAGUUAUAGGCAGGCGGUUAGUUAUUAACAAAUUGAACACUUCUUUUCUAAGACACUUGUUACCUGAAUAGACAGCGUUCCCUAUGUUGUUACACACAGUUAUGUUGGAUACUGGUGCGAGCCUAUCCUCCUUUUGUGUAAGCUUUUCUGAUUUGGCUUUCAGAGGAUUCAAGGCGUUUUGAUUUCUAUAUUUAGAAACCCAGGGCUUUUUGGUAUGCUACAAAUCACGCCGAGACAAGACUAAUUGUAAGCACUUGUACUUAAAAAUUAGUUUCAAGAAUAAGAACCUUCAGAGGUUUCCAUAUUGUAUUCCACUAGAGUAUCAUUAAGGGAAGCAAUUACUUAUCAGGAUAUACUCAAAACAACUUUAUUGCAUUCGGAGGAAAUAAUGGGAGUUGUCUGUCUAAAUUACUAGGCAGGGGCCCUGGAAAUCACUUAGCAUAAUUCUUGGCAUAAGGUAGGCAGUCAAUAAAUGGGGCAGGGAGUCAGGUAAAUGACCACCUAGUAAGUGUUAGGUGUUUGCACAUAUUAUGCCAUUUGGUCUUCAUUCAUAAUAACCCUGAACGAGGUACGACCAUCUUCAUUUACAGAUGAGGAAACAGAGACCCAUAAAAGUUAAGUGACGUUUGCUAGAUCAUUAGGUAAGUAGGUGAGUCAAGAUGCCAGCCCACAGGUGCUUGAUGCCAAAAGCAAUUUUCUUUCACUGCACUAAGCCGUCUCUCCCUCGCUUGUUUCCUUCUUCCCUUUGUGUCUUCCCUCCUCUGCUGCGUUCCUUUCACAGAUACCAGAAGUCUCUGUAAAUGCCAGCCAGUGACAAAUGCUAACGAGGUCGUCCCAUCUUACGGAUCGGUUCAUAGUAGGACAAAGUGAUCCCUCAAAGCCACCUCUGAAAAGUCUCAGAAUAAAAUAUGGAAUGCAUUCCUGAAUCCUAUCCCUCAGUACUGAGCUAUAAGCACUGGGGUACAUUUCAGAGGAUCCUUUAUUUAGGAAAACAAAGUGUUUGUGUGUAGACAACAGUCACACAACAGUCCAUCACCCGGGGCUGAGAUUCCCAGCACAGUAUGAACCAGCUGCUCAAGAUGACAGAGAUACAUGGAAGGGAAAAUGGUCUUGCUUCCCAUUUGAAUUACAAAUGCUUCCUGGAGACAAGUCAGGUGUAUAUGCCCAUUUGUUUAUUGCCUAAUGAUACCACUGCUAAAGAAAAAUAAGUAAAUAAGUAAAAGUGAAGCAUCUUGAUUUAUUAUUUCAUCAGAAUAUAACGGAGGCCCAGAGCAAUAAAGGGAACUAAUUACGGGCUUUCUUUACAUUCCCCCCAAACACCAGUUGUCUUUGUCUUCAACUUUUUUCUCUUUUUUUUCCCCAUUCCUAGGUCUCCACACCUAAUUUUUUUCUGUUUUUCACAUCCUCCCUUGCAAUCUCUCUUUUUGUUCCUCUUGUCAAAGACUCUCUUGUCCCUCAUCUCCAGAGCACCUCCUCCCUGAUAUUUUGUGCCUGGUUCCAACAGCAGAUACCACAGUGGUGGCACUUCCACCUCUGUGAUGGCAAGAGGUUCGUGCCACUGUGUUACUUCGGAUGUACUGAUCCUUCAGCCUCUUCUCCUCCUGGAAAGGGAUGGGGAUGAUGCCAGUGGAAUAUUUCCUCCUGAAAUGCAUACUGAAAAUUGUGCUCCAUGUCUCUUUUGAAAUGGAUUAUGAAAAUGGGAUUUUUUCCAGACUUUUUUUUCUGAUUGCAAGAGUAAUGAAUAUUUAUAAAAGAUAUAGGAAAAUAUAAAAGAAAAAACUAAUUCCCCAUUAUUAUUGCAGUAUGGAAGUGGUUAUUCUUAAAUAUGCAUGGGUUGUAUGCCUGUAUUUUAGCAUAUAUCAUAAAUUUGCAUGUAUCACUAAUUUUACAUAUAUACAUUGUCCAUGGUAUUACCAUUCUCAUCAACACCAUUUCAAUGGCCGUAUCUUAUUCCAAUGUGUGAUUAUACUAAAAUACACUGAAUCAUACUCCUUUGGUAACUAGUUGGCUUUUCUUUUUUCAAUUUUUUGCCAUUAUAAAUAAUGCUACCGUGAACAACUUUGUGCAAAAAGUUCAUUCUGCAAUUUUCAAUUAUUUCCUUAGAAAAUUAUUCCAAACAUAAAACCGUCAGAUCAAGGUUAUGAGCACUUUAAGGUUCUUUAUAUCGUUAAAUUGCAUUCCAAAAAGUGUGUGCUCUCUACAAAUCCCUUACUAAGCAACGAACCUUUAUACAAACUUUAUUAAAAAGUUUUCCAAAGCAAAUAAUCACCUCCUAAUUUGUCAUUUGUGAAAAGGCCAGAAAAAUUGAGGUCCUUCUUUCUACCCUGAUCCUCACCAUCGUGCCUCCCUGUACCACCUACAGGGGGCCCGAUAGCUUAGGCCCUCUUGAUUUUGUCCCUCUUUUUUGCAAGACAAGAACCAAAGCCAUUCUCUCAUUCAUUCAUCCAACCUAGAGUGGAACAGUCGCUGAUAAAUUAUUUGUCAGGCCCCAUGGCAGGUGGUGAGGAUCUAAGGAUGAGUAGGACACUGUCUGUAACCUACAGGAACAAUGGUAUUGUGGGGUGGACAGAUAAGUACAUGACAGCACCAGAAGACAAGAGCUCCAGAGAGGGAGGCCUGCUACAAGGAUCCAUCAGCCCAAAUAAAGCUCUCCAAGACUUGAGCUCCAACUUCCCAGUUCUAGCUGGGAUGACAGAGAGGUGCCUUCCCCUCGAACGCCCUGACAUCCAUGCAACUUCCCUUGCUUUGUCCUGCAAGGGGUGGCUUCACUCCUUAGCUCUCUUAUCACCCGAUGUGGGCUUUCCUUUCCUCUUGAGCCUGGUACACCUGACAUUCCGGAGAUUCAUCAUUCAGGCAUAAAUUUGUUCACACUGCCAGAAAAUUGAUGGAAUUAUAAAAGGAUCAAAGAUGACUCUCAGUGUCCCAGGUUUUUUUGUCUCCAAAUCAAGAUCAGAAAUGAUAGUGUGCAAGCCCCUGUGUGCGGCUUGUGGUGUAAAAUCCUGCAAGCUACUGCACCACACCACCAGCGCUUAGCACUGCUAUUAGAAUGGAAAAGUGAGGGUUUGGUUCCAAUGGAAAAAAGCAGGCACUUGUGGCCUCUUUCAAUGAAAAAGAAAUACAAGAAGUAUUUUAAUGAUGUUUUUUAAUCAUUUCCUCAGAGUGCACAGUGAGAAUAUAUCUGCUGGAAAAUGAAAAAGAACACAACAUCAAUUUAGUGCAGAAAACCACUCUAACACCUAAGGGUCUGGUCUCACAUUUUUCAUUAAUUCCAGGCUGAUAACUUUCAACAUUAGGCCUUGGUGCUUCAUCCAACUCCAGCUUCCUAGAAGCACACGAGCAAAUCAAAAUGUCUUUACGUUUGCCAAGAAGUCUUCUAAAUAUGGGACACCAACUCUGGUUUCAAGUCAUUUUUUGCUGCCCCAAUUCUACUCUCAACUAUAUAUUUCCCAUUAGAAACUUCCAUCCAUCAACCCUGUGAGUUUUCUCACGAAAUUAUAGGUACUGAAGACUCAUCUUCCUAAGUGAUCACAACAAAGAUGGUUUCAAACACAGCUUGUCAACGAAAGUACAAAGCUAUUUAGAAAAAAAGAGAGAGCCAACAGCUUAAUUCCAAAGAUGCCACUUGGAUCGUUUCUGCCCUUCCCAUGAGAAUCUUCAAUGCCUUUCGCUGUUUACAUAAUUCAACCCAGUACUUUUAAUUUUUUUCUGACUGUCAUAAAAAAUAUAGACAACAUAAAAUGUGCCAUUCUAACCAUGUUAAAGUGUGCAGUUCAGUGGCAUUAAGCAUAUUGCCAUUGCUGUACAGCC
rnacentral:lncRNA from 1 species